rnacentral:rRNA from 1 species
GGGUCAGUAGGUUGGUCGUGCCACCGGUACGUACUGGUCUCACUGAUUCCUCCUUCCUGAAGAACCGUAAUGCCAUCAAUUUGGUGUUGCGGGGAAACAGGACUGUUACUUUGAAAAAAUUAGAGUGUUUAAAGCAAGCUAACGCUUGAAUACAUUAGCAUGGAAUAAUGAAAUAGGACGAUCGAUCCUAUUUUGUUGGUUUCUAGGAUUGACGCA